rnacentral:rRNA from 1 species
AGUGAACGCUGGCGGUAGGCCUAACACAUGCAAGUCGAACGGCAGCACAGUAAGAGCUUGCUCUUACGGGUGGCGAGUGGCGGACGGGUGAGGAACACAUCGGAACCUACUUUUUCGUGGGGGAUAACGUAGGGAAACUUACGCUACUACCGCAUACGACCUACGGGUGAAAGCAGGGGAUCUUCGGACCUUGCGCGACUGAAUGAGCCGAUGUCGGAUUAGCUAGUUGGCGGGGUAAAGGCCCACCAAGGCGACGAUCCGUAGCUGGUCUGAGAGGAUGAUCAGCCACACUGGAACUGAGACACGGUCCAGACUCCUACGGGAGGCAGCAGUGGGGAAUAUUGGACAAUGGGCGCAAGCCUGAUCCAGCCAUACCGCGUGGGUGAAGAAGGCCUUCGGGUUGUAAAGCCCUUUUGUUGGGAAAGAAAAGCAGCAGGUUAAUACCCCGCUGUUCUGACGGUACCCAAAGAAUAAGCACCGGCUAACUUCGUG